GACGAACGCUGGCGGCGUGCCUAAUACAUGCAAGUCGAGCGCAGGAAGCCGUCUGAACCCUUCGGGGGGACGACGGUGGAAUGAGCGGCGGACGGGUGAGUAACACGUAAAGAACCUGCCCAUAGGUCUGGGAUAACCACGAGAAAUCGGGGCUAAUACCGGAUGGGUCAUCGGACCGCAUGGUCCGCUGAUGAAAGGCGCUUCGGCGUCGCCCAUGGAUGGCUUUGCGGUGCAUUAGCUAGUUGGUGGGGUAACGGCCCACCAAGGCGACGAUGCAUAGCCGACCUGAGAGGGUGAUCGGCCACACUGGGACUGAGACACGGCCCAGACUCCUACGGGAGGCAGCAGUAGGGAAUCUUCCACAAUGGACGAAAGUCGGAUGGAGCAACGCCGCGUGAACGAUGAAGGCUUUCGGGUCGUAAAGUUCUGUUGUAAGGGAAGAACAAGUGCCGCAGGCAAUGGCGGCACCUUGACGGUACCUUGCGAGAAAGCCACGGCUAACUACGUGCCAGCCGCCGCGGUAA
rnacentral:rRNA from 1 species